UGAACCAGCCAAGUAGCGUGAGGGAAGACUGCCCUAUGGGUUGUAAACCUCUUUUGUGCGGGGAUAAAGUGUGGGACGUGUCCCAUAUUGCAGGUACCGCACGAAUAAGGACCGGCUAAUUCCGUGCCAGCAGCCGCGGUAAUACGGAAGGUCCGGGCGUUAUCCGGAUUUAUUGGGUUUAAAGGGAGCGCAGGCCGUCCUUUAAGCGUGCUGUGAAAUGCCGCGGCUCAACCGUGGCACUGCAGCGCGAACUGGAGGACUUGAGUACGCACGAGGUAGGCGGAAUUCGUGGUGUAGCGGUGAAAUGCUUAGAUAUCACGAAGAACUCCGAUUGCGAAGGCAGCUUACCGGAGCGCAACUGACGCUGAGGCUCGAAAGCGCGGGUAUCGAACAGGAUUAGAUACCCUGGUAGUCCGCGCGGUAAACGAUGGAUGCCCGCCGUUGGGAUUUGGAUUUCAGCGGCCAAGCGAAAGCGUUAAGCAUCCCACCUGGGGAGUACGCCGGCAACGGUGAAACUCAAAGGAAUUGACGGGGGCCCGCACAAGCGGAGGAACAUGUGGUUUAAUUCGAUGAUACGCGAGGAACCUUACCCGGGCUUGAAUUGCAGGAGAACGAUCCAGAGAUGGUGAGGCCCUUCGGGGCUCCUGUGAAGGUGCUGCAUGGUUGUCGUCAGCUCGUGCCGUGAGGUGUCGGCUCAAGUGCCAUAACGAGCGCAACCCCUGUCCAUAGUUGCCAUCAGGUUUAGCUGGGCACUCUGUGGAGACUGCCGCCGUAAGGUGUGAGGAAGGUGGGGAUGACGUCAAAUCAGCACGGCCCUUACGUCCGGGGCUACACACGUGUUACAAUGGGGCAUACAGCGAGUUGGAUGUGCGCAAGUACGUCCGGAUCAAUAAAGUGCCUCUCAGUUCGGACUGGGGUCUGCAACCCGACC
rnacentral:rRNA from 1 species